UGAUGUGGGGGAUAACCAUUGGAAACGAUGGCUAAUACCGCAUAAUGCCUACGGGCCAAAGAGGGGGACCUUCGGGCCUCUCGCGUCAAGAUAUGCCUAGGUGGGAUUAGCUAGUUGGUGAGGUAAUGGCUCACCAAGGCGACGAUCCCUAGCUGGUCUGAGAGGAUGAUCAGCCACACUGGAACUGAGACACGGUCCAGACUCCUACGGGAGGCAGCAGUGGGGAAUAUUGCACAAUGGGCGAAAGCCUGAUGCAGCCAUGCCGCGUGUAUGAAGAAGGCCUUCGGGUUGUAAAGUACUUUCAGUUGUGAGGAAGGGGGUGUCGUUAAUAGCGGCAUCUCUUGACGUUAGCAACAGAAGAAGCACCGGCUAACUCCGUGCCAGCAGCCGCGGUAAUACGGAGGGUGCGAGCGUUAAUCGGAAUUACUGGGCGUAAAGCGCAUGCAGGUGGUUCAUUAAGUCAGAUGUGAAAGCCCGGGGCUCAACCUCGGAACUGCAUUUGAAACUGG
rnacentral:rRNA from 1 species